GACGAACGCUGGCGGCGUGCUUAACACAUGCAAGUCGAACGGAAAGGCCCUGCUUUUGUGGGGUGCUCGAGUGGCGAACGGGUGAGUAACACGUGAGUAACCUGCCCUUGACUUUGGGAUAACUUCAGGAAACUGGGGCUAAUACCGGAUAGGAGCUCCUGCUGCAUGGUGGGGGUUGGAAAGUUUCGGCGGUUGGGGAUGGACUCGCGGCUUAUCAGCUUGUUGGUGGGGUAGUGGCUUACCAAGGCUUUGACGGGUAGCCGGCCUGAGAGGGUGACCGGCCACAUUGGGACUGAGAUACGGCCCAGACUCCUACGGGAGGCAGCAGUGGGGAAUAUUGCAAAAUGGGCGGAAGCCUGAUGCAGCAAAGCCGCGUGCGGGAUGACGGCCUUCGGGUUGUAAACCGCUUUCGCAUGUGACGAAGCGUGAGUGACGGUAAUGGGUAAAGAAGCACCGGCUAACUACGUG
rnacentral:rRNA from 1 species